CGAGAUUGCUUUCCAGUCUUUGUAUAAAGUUGGAAAAGUGCCACAGUGGAGAUGUCCAAAUACGUUUCACCGUCAGAGAGAAGGAUCUAGAACACAAGAGACCAUCAUCAGUGAAGAGUUGAGCGCAAGGAGGCAGCUGAGCAGUGCUUCACAAUUCAUCACUCCCAUGGAGGAAACAGGAAGAAUGGAUUCCAAAGGUUUUAGUACCUCUGAUUAAAUUGGAACUGUUUAUGAGUGAAAGAAUAUAAAAAGAAUUCAUGAUGCCACUCGGACCUUUCUUACAGCACUGGUGGCAGUUUCCACUUUUCAGCAUCCUCUUUGAAUUUGGAGGCAAUGAAAUUCUUCACUGGUGAGUGGAAGCAUCCUCACCUGUCUAGGAAAGCAUCCUGUCUAGCACCUGACUAUUCCCUGACUGAAGACUUGACACACUCAGCUGCCAGCUACUGCAACUGAUGUACCACUGGAAUAGUCCCAUGCCGGGAGGAAUGUUACUUGCUCAUGAGUCUGCAGGUACUCCAGGUCUCUCUGUGGUAUGUCAGCCUGGUUAAACUCAACCAGCUUGGAUUUUCAUCUGUCAAGGUGUGGAUCUUCCACAUGUACCAUUUUUUAACUUGUUUUACUGGUUUUGGGGUGCAUUUUUUCUUCUGAGUGUUGCACGUUUUCUUAGUUUAUGUUUGAGAUAUUUUUAUUAGUUUCAACUUUUUUUUUGCUCCUUCACUUUUCUGAUAAAGCAAGAAAAGCAGAGUUGAUGAAGUCUCAGCAACAUUUCACAGAUUCAUUAACUUUUACCUUGGUGUCUACCAAAAUCUGAAAAUGCGUGUACUUAUCACCCCAGACAUCCAUGGUCUUGGACUGUUUGUCUGUGAUAGCCACCCCAUCUCUCCUCUGAGCAAUGCAAUUUCUCAUGGUACAUUCAAAAGUAUUGGGAUGCGCAAUCCCAAUGCCUUCAUUUUCUGAGUGCAUGCCUCCUGGUGUCCAUAGAAGUGGUCUUCUUGGAAGAAAAUGGAACAUUUUAGUGCUGCGUAGCACAACCUCUGUUUCUUUUCUAAUACACUGAUAAUUUCAA